rnacentral:rRNA from 1 species
CGGCGGACGGGUGAGUAACGCGUGGGUAACCUGCCUCAUACAGGGGGAUAACAGUUGGAAACGACUGCUAAUACCGCAUAAGCGCACAGUACCGCAUGGUACGGUGUGAAAAACUCCGGUGGUAUGAGAUGGACCCGCGUCUGAUUAGCUAGUUGGUAAGGUAACGGCUUACCAAGGCGACGAUCAGUAGCCGACCUGAGAGGGUGACCGGCCACAUUGGGACUGAGACACGGCCCAA